rnacentral:rRNA from 1 species
CCCUUCGGGAGCCUGAACAGGUGCUGCAUGGCUGUCGUCAGCUCGUGUCGUGAGAUGUCCGGUUAAGUCCGGUAACGAGCGCAACCCUUGCCGUAUGUUACAAGUGUCAUACGGGACUGCCGGUAUCAAGCCGGAGGAAGGUGGGGAUGACGUCAAGUCAGCAUGGCCUUUAUAUCCGGGGCUACACACACGCUACAAUGGUCAGUACAAUAGGUUGUAAAGCCGCGAGGUGGAGCCAAUCCAUAAAGCUGGCCUCAGUUCAGAUUGCAGGCUGCAACUCGCCUGCAUGAAGUUGGAGUUGCUAGUAACCGCGCGUCAGCCAUAGUGCGGUGAAUACGUUCCCGGGCCUU